rnacentral:snoRNA from 1 species
UCCCCCAUUGAUUUGCUGCUAUUGUCUGUCAGUGAUAUGAGCAGUUAUGUGCAUAGGAUAAAAUAUAUGAGACCCUUUCAAAUUGUGAUGAAAAUAAUCAUUUUCUCUUUUCUGCAUGGUCUGGACAUUG